UACGUAGGGGGGCAAGCGUUGUCCGGAAUCAUUGGGCGUAAAGCGCGCGUAGGCGGCCAGACAAGUCCGGUGUGAAAGUCACAGGCUCAACCUGUGAAUGCCGCUGGAAACUGUCUGGCUAGAGUCCGGAAGAGGAGAAUGGAAUUCCUGGUGUAGCGGUGAAAUGCGCAGAUAUCAGGAAGAACACCCGUGGCGAAGGCGGUUCUCUGGGACGGUACUGACGCUCAGGCACGAAAGCGUGGGGAGCAAACAGG
rnacentral:rRNA from 1 species